CGGCCUUGACAUACUAAGAACUUCCAGAGAUGGAUUGGUGCCUUCGGGAACUUAGAUACAGGUGCUGCAUGGCUGUCGUCAGCUCGUGUCGUGAGAUGUUGGGUUAAGUCCCGNAACGAGCGCAACCCUUUUCCUUAUUUGCCAGCGGGUCAUGCCGGGAACUUUAAGGAUACUGCCAGUGACAAACUGGAGGAAGGCGGGGACGACGUCAAGUCAUCAUGGCCCUUACGGCCAGGGCUACACACGUGCUACAAUGGUCGGUACAAAGGGUUGCUACCUCGCGAGAGGAUGCUAAUCUCAAAAAGCCGAUCGUAGUCCGGAUCGCAGUCUGCAACUCGACUGCGUGAAGUCGGAAUCGCUAGUAAUCGCGGAUCAGAAUGCCGCGGUGAAUACGUUCCCGGGCCUUGUACACACCGCCCGUCACACCAUGGGAGUUUGUUGCACCAGAAGUAGGUAGUCUAACCGCAAGGAGGACGCUUACCACGGUGUGGCCGAUGACUGGGGUGAAGUCGUAACAAGGUAAGCGUAGAUGA
rnacentral:rRNA from 1 species